rnacentral:rRNA from 1 species
GCCAGACUCCUACGGGAGGCAGCAGUGGGGAAUAUUGCACAAUGGGGGAAACCCUGAUGCAGCGACGCCGCGUGAAGGAUGAAGUAUUUCGGUAUGUAGACUUCUAUCAGCAGGGAAGAAAAUGACGGUACCUGACUAAGAAGCCCCGGCUAACUACGUGCCAGCAGCCGCGGUAAUACGUAGGGGGCAAGCGUUAUCCGGAUUUACUGGGUGUAAAGGGAGCGUAGACGGCAUGGCAAGUCUGAUGUGAAAACCCGGGGCUCAACCCCGGGACUGCAUUGGAAACUGUCAGGCUGGAGUGUCGGAGAGGCAAGUGGAAUUCCUAGUGUAGCGGUGAAAUGCGUAGAUAUUAGGAAGAACACCAGUGGCGAAGGCGGCUUUCUGGACUGAAACUGACGCUGAGGCACGAAAGCGUGGGGAGCGAACAGGAUUAGAUACCCUCGUAA